rnacentral:lncRNA from 1 species
CUUAACCAACUGAGAAAGAAUAAUGUCUUUUACCAAUUCAGCAGCUUUAGAGAAUAGGGGCGGCAACCAGAGGCGUUCGUCUAGAUAAAGGGAUACAAGCAAUCUACUUAGUGGUUUCAGCAAACAUGGAACAAGAAAGGUGUGAAGAGGCGCUGAGACCACAUCAUUAGCAGCCAUUCCAGCUUCUCUACGUGAACAUGGAGGUGGUGCACAUGUAAGAGCCUCUACCCAAUCCCUCUCCCCCACCUUAAAAUUGGGAAGAGGGGGAGAUGUAGCAUCGGGAACUUUCACUGCUGCAGAGAGUCGCUCAUGCAAGGGAAAGCUCCUUUUUAAAGCAAUUAUGGCUGCCUGAGUACACAGAGCCUGCAAAUCAGCACCAGCAAAGCCCACUGUCUUGCAAGCUAUCCACUUGAGUACUGGUCCAGAGACAGGUUUAGGCCAUUUCUUUGUUUGCAAGGAGAGAAUAGCUUCUCUGUCCUUAACAGAUGGAAGUGGAAAGUAAAUCUCGCGGUCGAACCUACCCGGACGCCUUAAUGCUGGAUCAACAGAAUCAGGACGAUUUGUGGCUCCUAUUACAACAACUGAACCUCGAGAUUUUAAACCAUCCAUUAGAGCAAUUUCAUAACCUUUGGAAUUAAAUAUUAGCGAACAAUGAAAUUGCAUUGUUUGGAUAACAUCAUGCAUUGUAUAGGACCUCAAAAGCAGCAGCAGUUGAAGGAUACGGAAAAUUGACAAAAGAAGUCGAUCUACUGAUCACUGAAGAUGAUAAGAAAAUCAAAUCAAAAUGAAAUAGAAAACCAAAAUUUUGAUUUUUACAUCUCGUAGUUCCACUCUUACUCCGCAGUCAUACAAAAAAAUUCCCGUAUGCCAAUCAAUCAAAAGGUUCCUUUCUCAUUACUAUCCACUCUACAAGAGAACAAAGGCAUAACGUCUCAAAUUUACAAUGAGUAGAAACAUCCUUCUUGUCUAAGUUGGUCAGUACACCAUCUCUAAGGAUAAACUCAGUAUCAAGCUCCUGAGGCAAAUUCUGAGAAGAUUUACAUUUCUCAGUUAUGCCAUUGCCUUUCAAAUGGCAAUCACAAUCUCUCAGGUUGAUUAAAUUGUCCCCCAAGUUUCGACAUCCACGCAUGUUCAAGCAAAUUCUGAGAAGAUUUGCAUUUCUCAGUUAUGCCAUUGCCUUUCAAGUGGCAAUCACAAUCUCUCAGCUUGAUUAAAUUGUCCCCUAAGUUUCGACAUCCACGCAUGUUAGUUUCCUUGCAUUCAAAGUAUUCACUGUACCUUUCUUGUACUCGCUUCUCAUCGAGCGAAGUUGAAUUGUUAGCCAGCAACCAAAUCCUCAAAGCCGAAUGAAGAUGUGCAGCUAAUGAGGCCAGAAAGUCAUAAGCCUCCUCUACCGUAUACUCAACCUUUUUUAGUCCCCACUCGUGGGAAAUCAUUUUUCUCAAGGUGCACUGAAAUCCUCUACCAUAUACUCAACCUUUUUUAGUCCCCACUCGUGGGAAAUCAUUUUUCUCAAGGUGCACUGAAGGUUCAGCAGGCACUGAGAACAGCACCGAAAUAAACACACUACACUAGAGUCAGUUGAAAGAUUGGAAGAUCUAUUUGAUGAACAUUCAAGACCUAUGCUAUUGCCAACCGACUUUUGGUUGCUAUCUCCGAUUUGAAGAUUGUUUGGAGUGGACAAUCUUCCAUUUGUGUUGGAACUCGUACUAUAAUUGGGAAGCUCAAUGCCACACCUCUCCUUGGAAUAAUUGCUACCAUCUUCUUGAACAUCAUCAAUAUUUAUCUCCAUGAGCCCAUUAGAAUGUGCUUCUGGAUUAAGACGACUACAAUUUUCAGCAGUUAAUUCUGGCCGAUAAGUUUCCAGUAUCUCCGGUUUGUCAAGGGAUUCUUUUAGCUCACGAUCUCCCUCCCUUUGAGGUGAAUCCUCAGGAGCAUUAGCGCUUUUCGGAAGUCCCGCACAACCAAUUUUUGGGUUUGCCACUGCGAGUUGAGAGUCUCCCUCUAAACUGAAAGUAAAGCCAUUUGCAUUAGAUGUAAGGCUGGAAAUAAGAAACCAAAAGAAACUGUACACGAACUACAAGUAGAGCCAAACUUACCUCUGCAAUGUAUAAACCCAGCUAUUAACCAUGUCAUCAAGAUAAGCCACUUGCGAUAAAAGACGACCAAAUUGAUACCUAUCCCUCCCAUUCUGAACUUUAUAAUUGAUUUGUUCAACCAGAAGCUCGAGAACUUUUCGAACCUCCGAGAAAACUUCUCUAACGGAUGAGUAUUUGCCUCUGUAUGCCAACAAUCCAAUAGCUAUCAGGCCUCGCACCAUACAGUAUUUCUCUUUGCCUUUAGUAUUGUUGGAAGAAAGGAUAACAUUUCUCAUUGAGUUAAUAGGUCGAAUAACACAAGAAUUGAAUGGCCAACCCUUCCAAGGUCCAUUUAUGUCAGCACAAGGACCUUCUCUUAACUUGGAUGUAAACCAACAAAGUUCAGCAAAAUGAGGAUAUAGCAGAAUUUGAUAGCCAAAUGUGGUAAUUGCUAACAUCAAGCUUGAUUUCGCUUUUACAUUUCUACUGUUAACUAUUGCAGUAGUAGGAACUGGACAUUGUUUAUGCACAUGCUCAAUUGUUGGUCUAAGAUCUGACCUCUGACAUUCUAUGGCAACAUUUCCCUCAGAUUUGUCACUAGCUUCAUUAUUGCAGGUGUGCAAGUGGACAUGGUUUGUACGAUGAAUCAGCUGAAUGAAGUGCUGAGCUAAAUCUUUUGACAACUUUGCUGCUGAGGAAUCAAUCAGACAUUCUUGAUUAAAAUUUCUAUCAAGCUGCUCGGUAAAUCUAGAAACUGAAUCCUCCAAGGGAAUUGGGAUACUGCAGUUCAACAUCUGACUUUUAAAGAACUGCCUCACUCUAACAGGGAGUGCUUCCAAGUGUACAUCGCAUGUAGCCUGUUUAAGGAAAUAGGAAACAGAAGGCAGUGGGUGCAAAAGAGUAAGUUCUUUAAUGAUUAAAAGUUGGUUAAAGAAUGUCUCUUUAAUGCUUUUAAGACUAUCCUAGAUUACACCUUGAUAUUUGUGCAAUCUAGGAUAGUCUUAAAAGCAUUAAAGAGAAUCACAUUGUAUGCCAGAAUACGUUUUUUUUUCGCAUGCAAACUUGCUAAUACAACAACAACAACAACAACAACCCAGUAUAAUCCCACUUAGUGGGGUCUGGGGAGGGUAGUGUGUACGCAGACCUUACACUUACCCUUGGGUAGAGAGGUUGUUUCCAAAUAGACCCUCGGCAUCCUUCCCUCCAAGAACUUCCCAACUUGCUCUUGGGGAGACUCGAACUCACAACCUCUCGGUUGGAAGAGGGGAUUGAUUACCAUCAGAACAACUAUUAUUAUGCAAAUGAGCUUCCUUGCCUAAUGAUUCAGGCUUUACUGAAGAACAACUAUCCUCCUGACAGACUUGAUCAGAUGUCUCCACGGCCCAUAAAUCAAUUCUUGGCAUAAAUAUCAUGCACUUCCCCACACUAGCACAUCUCACUGCACAAGAGAUACACAUUUACUACUUCCUUCAGCAGGAUGAGAAAAAUCAAAAGCAUUAACUUAAAAACAAGUAAUUCAUCAAGCAUACCAGCAUGUUUUCAGGGGCCAUUCAUGCACAACUGAUCAUUUGGCACCCUCAAAAAAACCAAACAAGAAAAAUUGAUUGAUUGAUGGAUUAACACGCGCGCGCGUGCACACAUACAAACACAUGCAUGCACUCAUUGCUACAAAACACAACCAUGUGACAAUGUUGACAACCAAAACACAGAAAACAGCCAAAAAAAGGAGCCAAAUUACAAACAUCCCUCAGGGUUAUGAACAGUUAUACACGCCACUCGAAUUUUAAAUAACUUUCACGUGUUUUCUGAUUACAAGCACAUUUAACCAGGAUAAUAGCUGUUUUCAGAAUGAUUUUUGUAGAGUCGUGUUACGAGGAAGUUAGCACCAAUGUCGCAAACCUAGUGGUGGUAACAAGUUCAGAAGAUAAUUAAAGGAAAACUUUCACAAGAUGGAACCCCAUUAAUAAGGUAUCUCUCUUUGGAAUGGAACUGAACUUUUGGGUAUAAAAAUGUUUUGAGAACUUAUGUCACAUCAUGGAAAUAAGGUUCCUUGCCUAAAGGCAAGUCCAGUAGAUGUUUGUACUUCCAGUAAGCACUUCCAUCCAUUAGGAGUGAGAUAAUUAAAAACAGAGAAGGAACAUACUGAGUAUCCGCGUCAAACCCUGAAUGACAUCUCCAUGUCCUUCUUGAGAAAUAGUGGCCAAAUCCACCUUCUGGACAUCAACAUUACCAACAAAACAAUGAAGAAGAGAGGAAGCAAGAUGCCUCUGGCCAGAUCUUGGAUUUCCAGAAAUUAGUAUUCUAAAUCCCGAUUUCUUUCCAGGCAUAUGAAAGAUAUUCUUCAACAAUUUAGGCCGAGCCCCUGCACACUGCAACUUUGAUGGUUCAGAAUCAGCGCGACUGUGAACAAUGUCAUCAUCACUAGCAUCAAAACCACCAACACUAGCAUCUCCAACCAGAAUGUUGGCACGUAUAAAGUGAUCUUCAAUCUGACUGAUAACAUCUGGUUCUUGAAGCAAAUCAUUAACAUAGGACUGCCAAUUAUUGCAUGGUAUGUUCUUCUUAACCAACUGAGAAAGAAUAAUGUCUUUUACCAAUUCAGCAGCUUUAGAGAAUAGGGGCGGCAACCAGAGGCGUUCGUCUAGAUAAAGGGAUACAAGCAAUCUACUUAGUGGUUUCAGCAAACAUGGAACAAGAAAGGUGUGAAGAGGCGCUGAGACCACAUCAUUAGCAGCCAUUCCAGCUUCUCUACGUGAACAUGGAGGUGGUGCACAUGUAAGAGCCUCUACCCAAUCCCUCUCCUCCACCUUAAAAUUGGGAAGAGGGGGAGAUGUAGCAUCGGGAACUUUCAC